AUUGAACGCUGGCGGCAUGCUUUACACAUGCAAGUCGAACGGUAACAGGCCUUCGGGUGCUGACGAGUGGCGAACGGGUGAGUAAUGCAUCGGAACGUGCCCAAUCGUGGGGGAUAACGUAGCGAAAGUUACGCUAAUACCGCAUAAGCCCUGAGGGGGAAAGCAGGGGAUCGCAAGACCUUGCGCGAAUGGAGCGGCCGAUGUCAGAUUAGCUAGUUGGUGGGGUAAAGGCCUACCAAGGCGACGAUCUGUAGCGGGUCUGAGAGGAUGAUCCGCCACACUGGGACUGAGACACGGCCCAGACUCCUACGGGAGGCAGCAGUGGGGAAUUUUGGACAAUGGGGGCAACCCUGAUCCAGCCAUGCCGCGUGCGGGAAGAAGGCCUCGGUUGUAACGACUUUCGGACGGAAGAAAUACGACAUGGUUAAGUAACCUUGUGUGGAGUGACGGUACCGUAAGAAGAAGACACCGGCUAAC
rnacentral:rRNA from 1 species